AUUUUGUAUACAUUUCGCUUUUGUUUUGUGGGUCUAGUUUGUAGAUUAUGUACCAAAUGCGGUGGCGAUAUUAGUAGCACUCACAGCAUACAAUUAUUACAGAGACGGCUAUAGUAACUUAAACCGAAUUGGUAGUUUUAUUGGAAAGUUGGAGACAGCAUAUGCUUAAUGUCGGCUGAAACCUACAAGAACUUGGACUGCAAUGACAGUGGAAUGGAUUUUUCUAGGCGUGCGGAUGACUAUUGGAAUCUCUAUUCGACCUUUAAUUUCUGCACCUUCUCUUUUGUUUGCUGGGUCUAGUGUGCAAUCUUGUAGAAAGAUAUCAAGUGGUGACGAAAUUCAUAGCACUCGCUGCAUAGAAUAAUUGUAAUUAUAGAGACAGUUAAAUCAAUUACUACGCUUAAACGACAUUGGUAGUUUCAAUGGAAAAUUGGAGUCAAAAUAUGCUUAUUGUUGGGCUGGAACGUAUAAGAGCUUGGACUGCAAGUCAGUAGUGGAACGUGUGGAUUGUAAGAUGGAGAGGACUGAAAUUUCUAGGUGCGCUAAAGGUGACUCGAAUCUCAGUCAACCUGUAGUUUGUUCGAGGGUAAGCAAAGUUUGAGAUGACUUUGUUUUGUCUUGCCUGGCAUGGCGAAUUGAAUUUUCAGCACUUUGGAACAUAAUCUGGUAAUGUAGAUGGAUUUAGGAAAUCCAAUGGCAUGACAGCUCCUACACAGUGGAACAUUAGUAAAUUCUCCUAGGAAACACAGGGAUUUUCCCGCUUCCAUUUCGACCAUUAUUAGAAUAACUUUAAUUUUCUUUCUGAUGACGUGAUCCUACUUCUGGAAGUGGUACUAAAGAAGAAUCAUUGUAGCAUACAAUUCUUUGGCAAUACAUGCCAAUUUUUCUUCUUGUUUGGAAUUUCUACGCAAGAAAAACAAAUAGUUGAAACUAGCCGGAUUCACCUCGCUGCGAGAUAUUACCACUAUGUGCCCAUACAUAAAAAGAGAGAUGUAUAUGUUAUACACUGUAGCUAUGUUUUUAAGGCGUCCGUAAGGCGUCGCUUAGGCGACGCCUAGGCGUCAGGGCGCCCUCCAGGCUCAGGGCGUCGGCCUUGCCUUAGACAGUUGCAUAAGGCGUCCGCCUUAGGCUGUAAGGCGUCUGAAGCGUCCGCCUUGCACGCCUCAGACCAAAUCAGACGCCUUAGCUUGUCAGGCAGGGAAACAGAGAUUGCAGGCGGGAAAACUGACCUGGGCGGGAACACAGGCGCGGGAAACAUUGGUUCAGGUGCAACCAGUUAUGAGAAGGGGAAAGAGAGAGUGAAUCAACGCGAGAGGUCUCUCCUGUCUCCUCUCUGGACCAUUGACGGAGGCUUCCUCCUCAGAUCUGCGGCAGCCGCCAGCCUCCUCCCUCCAGCCACAGUUCCUCCCCCUCCGCUCCGGCUGCAGCUCCUCCCCAUCCUCCUCUGGCGCAACCCUCUUCCAGCAGAUCAGCACCACAUCAAAUAGCCAGGUGUACCUGCUCUGAUGGAUCUAGCCAAUGAUCCUAGGAGAAGAGCUACAUCAGAUGAUCCAGCCUGGAAGUAUGGGUUCUGGCCAGAUUUAGAGAGGAAAGAUUUACUCCAGUGUACAUUGUGUGGCAAGAUCGAUGGUCCAUGGUGGAGUGAGAAGGCUAAAGCAACACUUUUCUGGGGGUUCCAGUGAUGCGGAUAAGUGUCCCGAGGCAUCCAUGGAGAUUAGGAUAGAGAUGCACAAUUCCUUAAACACUAGAAAGUUUAAAGCUAUGGAGCGAUAUAUUGAUGAGGAGGAUGAAGCUGAACUUCAAAGGCGCCGUUCUGUCAUAUACACAUGAUGAUUUGAGGCCUAUGCUUUGGUAACAGUUUAUAUGUUAACGUUAGUUGUUAAAUCUCCUAAUUGGUUGCCAUCUAUUAUAUAUGUAUGUACAAUUUAUUAAGUUAAUGCUAGUUGUUAAAUCUCC